rnacentral:rRNA from 1 species
UACGUAGGGUGCGAGCGUUAAUCGGAAUUACUGGGCGUAAAGAGUGCGUAGGCGGUUUCUCAAGUCCGCUGUGAAAUCCCCGGGCUCACCUGGGAAUGGCAGUGGAAACUAGGAGACUUGGAAUCUGGCAGAGGGGGGUGGAAUUCCGACGUGUAGCAGUGAAAAUGCGUAGAGAUGUGGAGGAACACCGAUGGCGAAGGCAGCCCCCUGGGCUGAGAUUGACGCUCAGGCACGAAAGCGUGGGGAGCAAACAGG